AGGAACUCUGCUGUCGAACAGAAAAGACAAAUAGUCACACUCAACCAUAACAUUUUGAUUUUGAUUAAAGUCAACUCUUCAAUGCGAUCCUGAUUGUCGCGGUAAAUUGGAACAACGUUGGCUCGUCACCCACAAGAAUUAAAUUGAAAUUAAUAUAAAAUAUGCAACGUGAUAGCGCGAAAGGGUCAAACAUGGACACGAAAAUUAAAUAUAACCAAGUAGCCGCAUACAGCCAAACGACCGGUCACAACAACUCCAAAGUCACACAAAUAAGCUACGUGCAACCCCCAUUUAGAAUAUCUCCUCCUAAACCAACUAAGAAGUAGUAAUUGUUCAGAAUCGAUUUUUUUUAUCGUAAUGUAUAUUUCUAACAAAUAAACCAUGUCAAUAAUA